rnacentral:rRNA from 1 species
UACAGAGGUCCCAAGCGUUGUUCGGAUUCAUUGGGCGUAAAGGGUGCGUAGGCGGCGCGGUAAGUCGGGUGUGAAAUCUCGGAGCUUAACUCCGAAACUGCAUUCGAUACUGCGGUGCUUGAGGACUGGAGAGGAGACUGGAAUUCAUGGAUGUAGCAGUGAAAUGCGUAGAGAUCAUGAGGAAGACCAGUGGCGAAGGCGGGUCUC